UACAGAGGUCUCAAGCGUUGUUCGGAUUCAUUGGGCGUAAAGGGUGCGUAGGCGGCGCGGUAAGUCGGGGUGUGAAAUCUUGGAGCUUAACUCCGAAACUGCAUUCGAUACUGCCGUGCUUGAGGACUGGAGAGGAGACUGGAAUUUACGGUGUAGCGGUGAAAUGCGUAGAUAUCGUAAGGAAGACCAGUGGCGAAGGCGGGUCUCUGGACAGUUCCUGACGCUGAGGCACGAAGGCCAGGGGAGCAAAACGGG
rnacentral:rRNA from 1 species